AAAAAUUUAGUUAAUAUAUAUAUAACAUUAAAAUGUCAUUUUAAAAUAAAUUUAAAUAAUUAAUUUUUA
rnacentral:tRNA from 1 species